rnacentral:rRNA from 1 species
AAGGAGAGUCUGCUGAGGUAAGGUCGUCGGAGGGGUCAGAGUGGCGAGGGCGAAAGCCGUAGUCGAUGGAAAACAGGUUAAUAUUCCUGUACUUUAUUUCCAUGUGUCCCGAGGGACGGAGGAGGUUGGCUUGGCCGGAUACUGGAUGCCGGUUUAAGUAGUAAGGUGUUGAGAGGUAGAAGAAAAAAUACCUUGAGCUAAGCUACGAGUACGUUUGCCUAUGGGCAAGAAGCAAGUACCCAAUCCUACUCCCUAGAAAAGCUCGAACGACGUUGGGUGUGCAUAUUUCUCUGUAACUAAAGCAAUUAAACUAUAGAAUGCAUUCCCCAUGAGAAAUAACCUGUACCCGAAACCGACACAGGUAGGUAGGUAGAGAAUACCAAGGGGCGCGAGAUAACUCUCUCUAAGGAACUCGGCAAAAUGGCCCCGUAACUUCGGGAGAAGGGGUACCUCUUGCAAAAGAGGACGCAGUGACCAGGCCCAAGCGACUGUUUACCACAAACACAGGUCUCCGGUAAGUCGUAAGACAAUGUAUGGGGGCUGACGCCUGCCCAGUGCCGGAAGGUUAAGGAAGUUGGUUAGCUUCGGCGAAGCUAGCGACUGAAGCCCCGGUGAACGGCGGCCGUAACUAUAACGGUCCUAAGGUAGCGAAAUUCCUUGUCAGGUAAGUUCUGACCCGCACGAAAGGCGUAACGAUUUGGGCACUGUCUCGGAGAGAGGCUCGGUGAAAUAGAAUUGUCUGUGAAGAUGCGGACUACCUGCACCUGGACAGAAAGACCCUAUGAAGCUUUACUGUAGCCUGAAAUUGGCUUCGGGCUCUUCUUGCGCAGCUUAGGUGGAAGGCAGUGAUCUCUUUUUUCCGGAAAGGAGUGAGCCAUCAGUGAGAUACCACUCUUGAAGAGCUAGAAGUCUAAUGGCGAUCCUUGAAUCAGGACGCUUGACAGUUUCAGGCGGGCAGUUUUACUGGGGCGGUAGCCUCCCAAAAUGUAACGGAGGCGUGCAAAGGUUCCCUCAGGCUGGACGGAAAUCAGCUGUAGAGUGUAAAGGCGAAGGGAGCUUGACUGCAAGACCUACAAGUCGAGCAGGGACGAAAGUCGGUCUUAGUGAUCCGACGGUGCCGCGUGGAAGGGCCGUCGCUCAACGGAUAAAAGUUACUCUAGGGAUAACAGGCUGAUCUCCCCCAAGAGUUCACAUCGACGGGGAGGUUUGGCACCUCGAUGUCGGCUCAUCGCAUCCUGGGGCGGUAGUACGUCCCAAGGGUUGGGCUGUUCGCCCAUGAAAGCGGUACGCGAGCUGGGUUCAGAACGUCGUGAGACAGUUCGGUCCAUAUCCGGUGUAGGCGUUAGAGUAUUGAGAGGAUCUUUCCCUAGUACGAGAGGACCGGGAAGGACGCACCUCUGGUGUACCAGUUCUCGUGCCAACGGGACACGCUGGGUAGCCAAGUGCGGAGCGGAUAACUGCUGAAAGCAUCUAAGUAGGAAGCCCACCUUAAGAUGAGUACUCUGUAUUCCUCGUCACAACCUUUUCAUAAGAGAAGAUAAACACGAGUAAGAUAAGGUCACGGCAAGACUAGCCGUUUAAUAGGUGUCCGGUG